ensembl:lncRNA
AAGUUAAGGGACAAUAAGCCUUUUUAUCUGAAUGCACAGCGUGUGUGUAACCUUGAAGUUGAGGGACUGACGAUCCUCACCCCUGAUGAUCACAACGGUGCCAGGGCUGUGCAGCUUCUCUAUCAAUGACAUGUCUUUUUUCAAGAAGUUCCAGCUGCAUAAAUACACGUUGGUGUCCUCCGGUCCCAGCCGAGACAGCCGAAAGGAAAACCCUGUUGCAGGGACAAGCCCCUGAGGUCCGACAGCGAUGUGGAGCAGGUGAUCUCAGCAGAGGAGUUGACUCUCAUCAGAGAGAUGGACUGGGGCUCUUGGGAAGUGGUCAGGAGAGAUGAAUUGUUACCGACCGCCUCACCUGCAUUUAUGGAAAAGAAACGAGCAGAUGAUUGUAUGAGGAAAAUCUUCAACUGAUCAGUUUGUAAACAAAGGGUGUAGAUGGUUGUGGAACAGCGGAAGGUGACCAAGUACAACUUUGAGCUAAUGGUGCACUUUAAAAACAGCUGGGGCUGCAAAGAAACAGGACGAAAGGACUCAGACACACCUUUAUCGUCUUAAAACCACACAACUCAUAUCCAUCCUUUCACACACACACACACACACUCUCUCA